GAUGAAGAACGUAGCGAAAUGCGAUAAGUAAUGUGAAUUGCAGAUUUCAGUGAAUCAUCGAAUCUUUGAACGCACCUUGCGCUCCUUGGUAUUCCGAGGAGCAUGCCUGUUUGAGUGUCAUUAAAUUCUCAACCUCACCCGUUUUCUGAACGGGUCGAGGCUUGGAUGUGGGGGUUUGUGCAGGCUGCCUCACUGGCGGUCUGCUCCCCUGAAAUGCAUUAGCGAGGUUCAUGCUGAACUUCCGUCUAUUGGUGUGAUAAUUAUCUACGCCGUGGACGAGGAUCAGACUCGCUUCUAACUGUCCGCGAGGACAAUACCUUGACAAUUUGACCUCAAAUCAGGUAGGACUACCCGCUGAACUUAAGCAUAUCAAUAAGCGGAGGA
rnacentral:misc_RNA from 1 species